AGUGAACGCUGGCGGUAGGCCUAACACAUGCAAGUCGAACGGCAGCACAGGAGAGCUUGCUCUCUGGGUGGCGAGUGGCGGACGGGUGAGGAAUACAUCGGAAUCUGCCCAGUCGUUGGGGAUAACGUAGGGAAACUUACGCUAAUACCGCAUACGACCUUCGGGUGAAAGAGGGGGAUCGCAAGACCUCUCGCGAUUGGAUGAGCCGAUGUCGGAUUAGCUAGUUGGCGGGGUAAUGGCCCACCAAGGCGACGAUCCGUAGCUGGUCUGAGAGGAUGAUAGGCAAAAAGGGAAAGGAGACAGGGUCAAGACUCCGAGGGGAGGAAGAAGGGGGGAAUAUGGAAAAAGGGGGGAAAGCCGGAACGAGCAAAGCCGCGGGAGGGAAGAAGGCCUGCGGGUUGAAAAGCCUUUUUGUUGGGAAAGAAAUAUUGGGGAAAAAAACCGGGGGGGAGUGAGGGUACAAAAAAAAAAAGCACCGGCUAACUUCGUG
rnacentral:rRNA from 1 species